ensembl:antisense G630030J09Rik RIKEN cDNA G630030J09 gene
ACACAUCCCGACUGACCCUCUAACUGCAGGGUGGGUGUUCACCAGGCAGAGAAAACAAAGCAAGGGCCAGUUCUCAAGAGUCGAGGAAUGGAAUUAUCAGCUGUCAAGACAAAGCCACAAAGGGUCUGAGAGACAGAGACAAUCUCCCACACACACCCAAGGCAUGCAACAAUGCCACAUUUGGAUACACUGGGACUUUCCCACAGACGGAAUCAGAGCGGGGUCGCUCCUACAUGCACCAGCUUGGAAACCCCGCUCCGGCCCUCUGCCGCAGCCCGAUCGCACCACCGUCCCCGCUUCCCACCCCGAGGCCCGGUGCUUACUCGAACAUGGAUGCGGCGCCCCGGCUGCAGGGCAGGACCCGGCCGGCUGCGCUGAGAUGGGCCUCCCGGGCCUCGCCUGCCUCGGCCGCCGCCUCCACCGGACCCUGCCACCCGCACAAAAGGCCGGAGCCGCCGGAGGCCGCCUCGGCGUCAGCGACACCCCCUUCCUGCUCCCGCCCCGCGCGUCACGGCGCCGCCCCCGCCGGGAGGGGGACAUGGACGCGAGCGCGGGCCUAGGCCUAGGAUGGCUGGGGAAAGAGUCCGGCUGGGAGACAGAAGAAAAUUUUUAUUUAAAAUGAGCAGCCUGGGCGGGGCGUGAUAGCGCACGCCUCACAUCCCAGAGGCUGAGACAGGAGGAUUGGCAUGAGUUCGAGGCCAGCUUGGGCUACAUAAUGAAUUCCAGGCCACUGGAAUGCAGAGUGAGAAUUUGUCUUCAAAACAAAUGAGCAAACAAGUUUAAACACCCUGGGCUUCUCCCCUGGACCCAGAAGAGUCUCUGAGAAGUGGGAUGGAGGUGGGUGACAGGCUGAUGCUGGGAAGAACUGGCCUGGGGCGGAAGUCUGGGGGUGGGGUCGGGGAACCACAGCUGGAGGGUGGAAAGCCUCUUCCCGUUCUCCCCACCCAGCCUCAGAACCUCAGUUCCUGCCUUAGAAGCGUUCACUUUUCCGCGCGCGCGUGUGUAUGGAGACUUCCCCAGCCUAAUCGUGCAGACCACGUCAGAUUCCAGCCCACCCGGCUCCUAGCAGUGCUGUGUGCGCUUGGGCAAGUCCCUCAGGCCUGGGGAGCCCCCUGCUCCCAGGCAAGGGGUUUCCCCCAGAACAGCACAGGGGCAGGGCUCAUCAGCGUUUUUGAUACUGGGAAGCCUGCCGAGCCUCAGGACGGGAAAUGACCAUACAUUGCAGUGUAGGACGAGUUCUUGUGCCAGCCAGCCCUGCACCCACCUCUGCAAGCCAGGCGUGGUUGUCGUCCUUGUUGGAGAACACAAUGUGAACGAGCCUCUGGCUUUGGGACCCAGCCCAGGGAUUUCUCCCCACCCCUCUUCGGCCUUCAGCCUCUUGUCCAGCUACAGUAGGCCCAGUCCCACCUUGUUUGGUUUCCAUUCCUAUCCCGCUCUGUUACCACUUACAGCCAGAGCUCUAGCCUGUGAAUCGCCAAGUCUGGCCAGUGGCCUCUUGGCUUCAAGCCCUACCCUGGCUCCACCUCAUUCCUUGUUUUUUAAAAAAAAAGUGCUCAUCUUGGUGUCCUGAGCCCUCCUGAUUGGGCCCCUUCCACCUGUCUGUCUAACUGGUUCCUCCUUAGCCUCCUGGUUGAUUAUCCCAGGUGUCAAUCUACCCCCCUGCUCAUCCCACCUGCCUCCGGCCUCAGGACCUUUGCACUGCUAUCCCUUCCACAGGAGGAAGCUCGCUCUUCUUGCAUGGCUGCCUUCCAUCUUUCUGUGUUGCUCUUUUUAUACGUCCGUAGCUUGUUUACUCUUAGAAAGACAUUUACUUCGGUGGUGCGGGCUUGGGUGGGUUGGAUAUCAUUAUAUAGCCUGGGCUGGCCUCAAACCUCAGUAUGUAGCUGAGUCAGGGCUCGAAUUUAUGAACUUCCUGCCUCAGCCUCCUAAAUGCUGGGAUUACAGGCAGGAACCACCAACCGCACAAAUUUUUACAUUUUUACUUAGUGAAUAUUCAUUUCAAAUAAAAGUGUAUAAUGGCCAUCUGUGUCCUCACCAUAAGACAUAAGAGGUUCAGUAUGCAUAAAAAGCCUCAUUAAUUUCGUUAAAGGUUCUGAAUUGUUUCUAAGGACAAUGGAAAGUCAUUAAAGUAUUUAAGUG